GGCUCCGUGGUCUAGUGGUAUGAUUCGUGCUUCGGGUGACAUCUGGCAACAGGUUAAUCAUUACUUGAAUCAUCAAGUAACAGAAAAUGUGCGAGGUCUCGGGUUCGAAUCCCGACGGAGCCC